AAAAAUGUAGCAGGGGAACAUUCAAGCUUGCUCCCUCUUGGCUAAUAGUUCGUUGAGGUGUAUCAAUCAUUGAUCACUGGCUAAAUACUAAUAAUUACAGGGUGUAACUGGGAUUGGAUUAGUGUGUGCUGAGAUGGCCUCCUGUGAACCUGAACAGAAUAACUAGUUUGGUAAAGUGUGCCAAACAUCUGUCUUCACAUGCAGACAUCACAAGGAAUCCAUAUCCCUGCUUAAAAGGUCCUACAGGGGAGGGCGUACCGUGAAAUCUACAACACUCAGCAUUUCUGCUUUGCAGUCCACUAUCUGCACAGGAGGUGAUGAAACCGGAGACUUAACUGCCGUACUCCCAGUUUGAGUUGCCCUUUAUCACUGAGAAGGAGUCAUUUAAGGAGGUGAAAGACAACAGUAGGAUUACAACCAAUGAAUUGAUGACAGGUUGACCUCAGUAAACACAUGAACUAUGGCACAUGAAUGUCUCACACAAGGAGGAAUGGCUCUCUCAGUCUCAGUUGAGACUUUAAAAGUGCUGGAACCCAGAGCUUUAUGGGCAGGUUGUUGACUGCUGCAGA